rnacentral:lncRNA from 1 species
GCCAAUGCCCUAGGCGCCACACACACAUAACACAUGUAUGCGCCAAUGCAUGUGGCACACACUCUAAAGCACACAUGCAUGCGCCAGAUGCAUGUGCGACUAAGGGCAAUGCAUUGCAAGCAUGCGUCAGCUCCAAUGACGCCUCCUUUGAAUGGUUAUUGGAUGCGCCAAUUCAAUUGGUGCAUUAGUAGUGAAAAUUUGUUAUUUUGGUAAAUAAUUUAAUAUUUUGGUAUUUAAAUUGAAAA